CUCCCAUCUCCGGCGUGGACAGUCAUCCACUUGUGCUUUUUGAGAGUAGUCAAGCUCUUACCUGAAGUCCACAGGCUCAUCCUUUUUGCUGACACAUCCCGUUUGUCCACCACAGUAAAAGAAUUCUGCUGUGAAGCUGAAUUCUGCUCAUGCUGGAGAGACCACUUGAGCUGAGGGCUUGCAUGAGAAUGAGGUGGUGCUUAGCUGAAGCAGGCAAACAAAAACACUAACAAAAUUAAAUUUAAGAACAGAUAGCAGAUGAAAGCAAAAAAAACCCAAAAACAACAGAAAGGUAGCAGGCUGUGAUUAAUAUGGGAAGUAAGUAACAAAAAGAGAAAAGUUAAAACAUGAGUAAUUAAAAAAGACCACAGGCAACACAGUCAAUGUUAUUUAUGCUGCAACUGGUUUUGCUCAGGGAGAAAGCAAAGGUGAAUCAGAUGAGCUAUGAGUGCUGAUCUCUCAGUCGUUUUCUUUCAAUUAAGGAUUAUUUCUUAUCUUUACUUUUUAUAACGAGGACUGCAAACCCCAAUUGGGGAUUUACCAACAGUUUCUCUUGUUUUUUGUUGUUUUUCUUGUCUUUUUUUCUCUAUGACAUUGCGAUACUUAACAUCUUUGCCUCUCCUUUAAAUGGGUCAUUUGCAGGAAAAUUACAAUACAUGAUGUCAUGGGGUAGCUUUACCUUUAAGACAGCUUGGAGGGAGAGGAAGUUGAAGCUGCUGGUGGCUGAUGGGAGUUUUUCCUCCUGACCAAUUAUCGGCCUAUCUGAAAUACCAGUGAAUUGAACACUCAGAAGACAACCACUUGUUGCGUUCUCUCCUGAUGGAAGAGCAGUCGUUCUCAGCAUCAGACUCUAACCUCUUCUGGCUUUUAAUCAGGAGUUACUUCCAAGAACAGGGCAACAGGCUGGGACCCGUCUCGUGCAGCUCAGUUUCUGAGCAGCCUUAUGCAGGUUUGUUUUGGACUGCUAUCUCCUCCUGCAAGCAAAACAGCAAUUUCUACUCAAUCCUGCGUGAAGGAGAUGUGUCCAGCAGUUCUCUCUUGCUCCCCAGGGGAAUAAAGAUCUAUCUCCUGCAUUAUUGGCUUUUCUUGUUCGUUGUUUUUUAUUUUCUUGCUUCGGUUUCCAAAACCACUGAAUUCACAGCAUGUUCAGCUAACAGAAAAAUAACCCAAGUGCUGUGCUUUGAACACAUAAUGGAUCUCCUAAAGAACAUGAAACCACCAAUGUCCACUGGAAGUUCUUGUCUACAUGAGGUGAACAUGCAGAAAGGUAAAAAACCCCUGACACUCUCCAGGGAGUCGCAUGUAUCAGGUAAUUUUUUUUUAUGA
ensembl:lncRNA